AAUUUCCUACUAUGACAUGUGUGUUGGACAGUGUAGGGCAUAGCAAUGAUUAGUGAUUUUCAGCAGCCUUUCUUGAAUAGGCAUUGAAAAUAGCUAAACAAAAAAAGAGAAAUGAGCUGAAUUCUUGGAGUUAAUAUUUUGGAGUGAAUUAUAAAACAGAGUUCUUGCAAUAAUGCAUGUAAAUUAAAAAUAGGUUAGCAAAGCAUGAGUAAAAAUAGUCAAUUUUCAAAUACUUUUCACAGCUCUCCGAGUCUGACAUAUUUCUCUGGCUAAAAGGGAAGAAACAUAUCGGCACUCAUGUUGGGAAGACCUUAGAACAGCAAAGUACUAAAACUUGCCAAACCAACUUCAAGUGGCUUUCUUGUUAGUGCAAUACACACUGCACUGAGUUCCUGAGCAUAAUAUUUCCACCCUUUCCCACGGAGUCUGCUUAAAUUUGAAGAUUUUUUUUCUAGUAGGUGUAUUGUCCUUAAUUUUGGAGGAAGUUUUAAAAAGGUGGAUUAAUGUUAUAUAUGCUUCCGAGAAUAUUAUGCAACCAUGAAGCUUUGCACUUCAACAUAAAUGAAUCCCAAAAAGAGCCAGAUGAACUGUUGGCUGGGAGGCAGAGCCUUAGGAUGUUUCAAAUUCAUCGUGACUUCACAUAAAGGUCCUCUCUGGAGUAUGAAAGUCAAUUUUACAGGUGUAAAAUAAAGGAAAAGACGACAGUCUGAAAGUCAAACGAAAUUCCAGGACCACCUGUAUUUCAGUGAGGCUAGACCCUCCACUAUAACACUGAAUAGAAUUAGAGAAAACAGCUAUCUUGCCUUGUUCUCUAUCAUAGAAGGAAGCAUUCAGAAUUCCACUACUAAGUAUAAUGGUCACGUGCCAUAGAUGGAGCAGAGUGAAGCAAGAUAAAGCCUGUUGAUUUUUCAAUUCUUGUAGUUUUCCUAAGCUUGCAGGCCUUCAGAUUUAGAGUGGAAAUAUACUGUCAUCUCUCCUGUGUCUCCAGCUUUCCAUGUGACCAUAGAACCUCUCAGACUCCAUAAUCAUAUCGACUGCAAGAACAAACCAGAAAUCCCAAGAGGACCCACAGACCCUCUGAAGGAAGCGACUACUCCUGCAGGACCCAGGAGACACCCUAAAUACUGUGAGUGCCCCAGCUGCAGAAGUGGGAAAGGGAGAGCCUCCUCUCCCAAACACACACCCCCGCUGGAGAAGCUGAAGGUCUGUUUGCGGGAGAAGUUUCCAACUUUACUUGGAGCUGAGUCAGAGAAAACUCCAAGUAUUUUUUGCAAGGAAAAGUUGAUGAUACUGAUGAUGAUGGUGAUGGUGAUGGUGGUACUGAUUAGAGUGCUGAUGGUAGUAGUCCUGUAACUUGAACAAGGUUACAGGACAAGUAGAAUAUGGCAGAGAUGGAAUUUGAACCCAAGCAAUCAAAUUCAAAAGACUAUACUCUAAAGCAAUGGCACUCAGGGAGUGAUCCAUCAGUGCCUGUGCACAACAAGGUCCACAACCUGGCAUUUAGUGGUAGGCCUGGAGCUGCUCUUGGUCAACAGUGUCAGAAGUUGGGAAGAAGAGCUGCAUAUCAAGCAGAAGAGAAUGAGAAGAAACAGGAACCCACUUCUGCAUCUGUCUAUAGCAACAUCUGACUAUAACGACCUUCAAAAGAUAAUGGCUGUUGCUUCAUUUCCAACCCUCCAAAUCUCAAGCAAGUAUAUCUUUGGGCCAACUGUAACCUAUAACUCUAUAGGGAAGAGGUUUCUGAGAACUCUGUGUCACAGCUUAACCAUACAAAGACAAUACAAACCAUCCCGAUGAUGAUGAUGGUUGGUAAUAAUGAAGAAAAUAAUAUGAGUGUUUUCUCAAGGAAGGCUACUUCUUGAUGGCAGUUCUGGGAGACAUAAGAGAAGUUUUAUUUUUACCCAAAUGGUUGGUAAAUAAAUUACUGUGUGACAUGACAGAGUUCAAGUUAUAUGAUAUAGUAGAUUCACAUUAUGCCAAAAACUAUAAGACUCCCAGACACAGCCCAGGAAUUCAUUUUGAGAGCUAUCAUAGGCUUCUGAAUGUGCUACCAUCUAUGCUCUUAAUUUAAACCUUAAUUUGCUGUGUGGACGACAGACUACUCUGAAAACAACCCCAAAUGCUUCAGUGCAGGACUAUGUGUCGUGGAUAAAGUAACAAAAUUACAUAUUCAACCCAUUAUGGCCAUCCUCUUGUAUGGAAGAUGUAGAUUGUUACCAAUAUUUAACUCUUAUAAUUAACUUGAAUAAAUUUCCUUACAAAAUAAAUAUGUACACUUGUAAAUAUUCCAUUAUAGUAUCUUUCUUAGUGUAGAUAUCCUGGAGUAAAAGAAAAAUAUUUACAAAACAAGGUAACAAUUUUUAAAGCAAAAUAUCUAUUAUCAAAUUGUUCUCCAGAUAGGUAUUACCAAUUACACACCCACCAGCCCAGCAGUGUGAAAAUAUCACAUCUCCCACACCCCCAUCCACACCCACGUGGAAAAUUAUUAUUAAAAAUUAAUUUUUACCAACUUGAGAGGGAAAUGGUCCUAUUUUAAUUUUUUCAGGGGUGGAUUCAUAUGUUUACUAGAUAUGUAUAUGUAUCCUUCUAUGAGAUACUUGUUAGGUUAUUUCCCAUUUCUGUGUUGUGGCAUUAAUUUCUUUUUCUUGUUAAUAAUGCUCCCGAAGUUUUAUGUCAGUCUUUUCAUUUGUUUAUAGUAUUUUAUGGCAAAGGAUUUUCUUAAUUAAGUGGUUGUAGUCAAAUCUGCUAGUUUUUAUCUUUGUUUUCAGUUUGCAAUGUCAUGUAUAGACAUGCCUAUCUACCACCGAAAGUAUUUUAAAAAGCAAUGUGUAGGUUUUCUACUUUUGAAGAAUGUGCGUUUUCUACUUUUGAAGUAUGUGCAUUUUCUACCAAAGUCUUUAGUUUGUUUGAUAUGUGCAAUGAAGAAAAAUAUCUAACAAUACCUUAACUUUUCUCGAAUAAUAUUCCAAUUAUCCUAAUAUCCUUUGUGACUUAAACUUCCUAUUCUGACUUAAAAAGACUUUUAUCAUAAGUGCUCUACUUAAUCAUAGCCUUAGCACAUAGUGUGAGUCCUAGAGUCAGACUACAAGGUAAUUACUGUCACUUACAAGCUGUGUGACCUUAAGUGAUUUAAUUUAAUCAUCCUGUGACUAAGUUUUCUAAUCUGUAAAAUUGGAAUAAUGUGAGGAUAAAAUUAUCAUAAGGAUUAGCAAGCUGAAUUAACACGUGUAACGCUCAUAGACGACUGCCUGGCACAUAGUGAAUACUCAGGAAAUAUUACUGGUUGUUGUGUAGCGAGGUGUAUAAUGAAACACUGGUACAAUUUCAGAUUUUGGGUUUUGAGGACCGGGCUUAGAGGGUCACCUUGGGGAGAAUCUUGUAGAGUCCCACAUCUACCCUCUGCCUCAAUGAGAUACGAUCCUCCACUUUGAUGAGAUACUACCACUUGGAGAACUUGCUACAUGUCAAUCCCUGCUAUGGAGAAAGUAGACUUUUAUUCUAAUGCAGUAGACUUGAAAUCAUUUGAAUGUGAGAGAAGAGCUGGAGUCAGAAAGAGAUAAAAAGAGGGCCUGAGACUAUGCCUUAAAUUGUUAAUACAUUUAAGGGAUAGAAGAAAGAAAAGGAGAACCGUUAGAGAAGAUAGAAAGAAAUUGUUUCCUGGAUCAAAAACAGUUCUAGACUGGACUGUGUCUCCCACCCCUUUAAAUUCAUGUGUUGAAGCUCUAGCCCUCAAUGGGACUGUAUUUGGAGAUAAGACCUUUAAAGAUGUAAUUAAAGUUAAACGAGGUCAUAAGAGUAGGGCCCUAAUCCAAUAAAGCCUGUGUUCUUAUAAGAAGAGGAAGAGACUUCAAGGAUGCCUGGAAAGGCCAUGUGAGGACACAGCCAGGCAGGGGCCAUCUGCAAGCCAAGAAGAGAGCCCUCAGGAGAAACCACACUUGCUAACACCUGGAUCUUGGCUCUCCAACCUCCAGAAUUGUAAGAAAUAAAUUUCUGUUGUUCUAGCCACCCAGUCUGUGGGAUUUUGUUAUGGCAGCCCUGGCAGACUAAUACAGGAUCCAAGAGAAGAGAGAGUUUGAAAAAGGUGGGAGUGAUUGAUUGUGAGAAGUGCUGCUGAAAACACAACAAUAAAGUAAGCUGAGAACUUAAGUGUCUGUUGGAUCAGGAAAUAAGAAGUCAUUGUUAAUUUUGACAAGAACAUUUUAAUGGACUGAUAGAGGCAGAUUGCAGCGGAUUGAAGACUAAAGAGCAGGAUUCACAUAGAAAAUAUGGCAAUAUUUCAAAUCAUCAAAAUGACAAUAUGGCUGAGUAGGUGUUGUAUAAUGAAUAAAGAACUUCAUAAUUAAAUGCUUAUUCACAACUUUUAGUCUGAACAUCUUUUGCUGUAGGAGAUCUUGCCAAAUUGAUUCCCUUCGUACUUCCCAGUCCAAAUCUAAAUUAGUCACUGCUAUUACAUAUAUGUUACCUUAUCAUUUUUAAAUUGUAGUCUGUAUCAUAGUUACUUAUACUUCUGCAGUUACUUAAUUUUCUCUCUCACGAGGCAGUAAGCAAUGUGAGAACAAGGAUCAUAUUUGGUUUAUUCCAUUAUCUAUGGUUAGAACAUAGUGGACAUUUAAUAUGCAUUAAAUAAAACUAAAAUUCAUUCAACAAUAUGUCAUUAAAAUCUUUACAUGUCAAAUAUAUCAUUUUACUGACUGGAUUUUAUGUAUACAUAUAAUUUACACCAGCCUUUCCUACUAUAAAUUAUACUAUCUGGAAUUGUUUAGCCAGUUAAGGAUUAAAUUCUGCCAUAAAAUUUAACUUUUUUCUUUUUUCUCCAGAAAAACUGUUUUGACCCUGGGCUUUUUUUGCAAGUAGUUUUCUAAUUUUCUAAAUAAUUUUUUGGCCUGUCAUGGUAGCUCAUGCCUACAAUCCCAGCACUUUGUAAGGCAGAGGUGAGAGGAUGGCUUGAGGCCAGGAGUUUGAGACCAGCCUGGACAACAUAGUGAGACCUAACUCUAUGUAUUAAAAAUACAAAUAAAAACAUUAGCAGGGCAUGGUGGUGCAUGUGAGCAUGAGAGGUCGAGGCUGCAGUGAGCAGUGAUUGCGCCACUGCACUCCAGCCUGUGCAACAGACUGAAACUCUGUCUCGAAAGAAAAAGAAAAAAAAUUUUCAUGGUAAUUGCCUUAUUCAAGUUUCCAGCUCUAGUUGUACAUAGCAUUCUCAUUUUUAAUCUGUGUUAAGUAAUUAUUUCAUAUUCUUAAUUCUAACUUUGAUGGCUUUUUUCCUUUAAAAAAACUUUAUUGAAGUAUAAUUUACAUAUAAUAAAAUGCACCUAUUAAGUUGUACAGUUUGAUGAGCUUUCACAAAUGCCACCACCAUAAACAAGAUAUAGAACACUUCCAUCACUCAGAGAAGUACACUCAUGCCCCUUUGCAGACAAUCACUUCUACCUCUGCCCAAGGCAACCACUGAUAUACUUUGUCAAUUUAGAUGAAGAUCUCAUAUAAAUUGAAUCAUAUGGCACAUAUUCAGCAGAACAUGGUGUCACAGGAAUUCAUCCAUGUAGUUGUAUGUAUCAGUAGUUGAUGCCUUUUUAUUGCUGCAUAGUAUCUUUCCAAUGAAACAUGUUAUUCUUUUCAAAGAAUAAAAAAAUUCUUUAGAAACAAUUGCUUAUCCAUUCACAAGAUGAUAAAUAUUUAGGUUAUCAUCAGGUGCUUGAGUUUUCUAUUGCUAUUUUAACAAAUAAACACAAACUUGAUGGGAUACAAUGACACAAAUUUAUCAUCUUAUAGCUCUGGAGAUAAAAAGUCCAAAAUAAGUUUCAUGGUACUAAAAUCAAGAUGUGGCAGGACUCCAUUUCUUCUGGAUGUUUAGAGGCAGUGUUUUCUUUCUUUUUCCAGCUUCUAGAGGUUCCCACAUUCCUUGGCUCCUAGGCUCCUUUCAUCUUCAAAGCCAACACAUCUUUCUCAUAGCUUCUUACCUCUGAGUUGACAAUGUCUCUUUUUUGCUUGUAGGUAGCCUUGUGAUUACAUUGGGCUUACCCAGAUCCAGAUCAUCUAGGAUAAUCUCUCUACCCAAGAUCUUUAAUGUAAUCACACCUGCAAAGUCCCUUUUGGGAAGAAAGGUAAUAUAUUCAUAGUUUCUGGAGAUUAGGCCUUUCCAGGCAAAGAGGUGGAAAUCUUUGUGGGGCCAUUUUUCUGCCUCCUACACAAGGUAAAGGAUAUUAUGAGUGAAGCUGUGGUGAGCAUGCAUGAACAAGUCUCUUGCGAACAUAGGUUUUUAUUUCAUUUAGUGGUGGACGUGCUGAGCUGGACAGUAAAUAUGUUUAGCUUUAUGAUAAACUGCCAAAUAGUUUUCCAAAAUGGUUGCUCCAUGUUACAUGCUCACUAACACUAUUUGACAUUUCAUUGACUCCUUAUCUUUUUCAAUACUCAAUAUUGUCAAACUUUCAAAUUUUAGCCAUUUAGUGGGUAAGGAGUAGUGUCUCAACUGUGGUUUUAAUUUGUAUUUUCUUGAUGACUAAUAUGUUGAGCAUCUUUUCCCAUGAUAACUGAUUACACAUAUAUAUUUUUGUGUGAAGUAUGUGUUCAACAUUUAUGCCCAUUUUCAUUGUUUUUUGUUGUCUUGUUAAACUGUAAGAAUGUGUGUGUGUGUGUGUGUGUGUGUGUGUGUGUGUAACAAGUGUUUUUUUAGAUAUAUAUUUUUUGAAUAUUGCCUCAAAGUCUUGGGCUUCUCUUUUUCUUAACUGAAUAUCUUUCUAUGAGCAAAACUUUAAACAUUUGGUGUAAUUUUUCAUUUUUUUCUAUUAUUGUGAGUAUAGUGCGUAGCAUACCAUCAUGAUGAUGAUUUUUUCCUAUCCUCCCACAAUCUGUUUUGUAUUUUAGCUUUUACAUUUAGUCCUGUGAUCCAUUCUGAGUCAGUUUUUGUGUACGGCCUGAUGUAAGGGUGAAGGCCCAUUUCUUUUCCAUAGUAAUACCCAGUUGUUUCAGUACUAUUUAUUGAAAUUACUGUAUUUCUCUUAUUGAUAUGCAUUGGCAACUCUGUAGAAAAUUAAUUAUAUUAUUGUACUUAGCAUUUUAAUAAUAUUUUAAAUCCUUUUGUUAAGUAUGUAUUGCUUAUAUUUUCUCUUUAUAUGUUUCUUUUGACUGUCUUUCUAAUACAUACCUAUUUAAUAAACAUGUCAAAA
rnacentral:lncRNA from 1 species